AUAAGCAAAAAAGGGCAGAUGGAGGAUGCCUUGGCUCUUAAUAGCGAAGAAGGACGUGAUAAGCUGCGAUAAGCUACACUGAGACGCAAAUAGUCUUUGAGGUGUAGAUUUCCGAAUGGGGCAACCCUCAUGAUUGAAGAUCAUGAAUCUCGAAAGAGAAGCACACCCAGUGAACUGAAACAUCUAAGUAACUGGAGGAAAAGAAAAUAACAAAUGAUUCCCUGAGUAGUGGCGAGCGAAACGGGAAGAGCCCAAACCAACGAUGUUUAGGCAUUGUUGGGGUUGUAGGACCGCAUUUAGGAAUUAAAUUGAAUUUGGAAGUCAACUGGAAAGUUGUCCCAUAGAAGGUGAUAGGCCUGUACAGAAGCUAAUUUAAUUUUGAGCGGUAUCCUGAGUAGGGCGGGACACGUGAAAUCCUGUCUGAAUCCGCCGGAACCAUCCGGUAAGGCUAAAUAUAUUGAGAGACCGAUAGUGUACAAGUACUGCGAAGGAAAGGUGAAAAGAACCUCGAACAGAGGAGUGAAAUAGAACCUGAAACCAUCUGCUUACAAGCGGUCGGAGCGUAAGUGACGACCUGCCUUUUGCAUAAUGAGCCUACGAGUUACUCCUCUUUGGCAAGGAUAAGUAUUUAUGAUACGCAUCCGAAGCGAAAGCAAGUCUAAACAGGGCGUUUAGUCAAAGGGGGUAGACGCGAAACCUAAGUGAUCUACUCAUGACCAGGUUGAAGUCUCGGUAACACGAGAUGGAGGACCGAACCCGUUAACGUUGAAAAGUUUUGGGAUGAGUUGUGAGUAGGGGUGAAAGGCUUAUCAAACUGGGAAAUAGCUCGUUCUCCCCGAAAUGCAUUUAGGUGCAGCCUUGUGGUGAGUGCGACGGAGGUAGAGCUACCGAUUGGGCUAGGGGGUGUCACAACCUACCAAACCCUGACGAACUCCGAAUGCCGUCUCAUAUACACAGGAGUGAGGGUAUGGGUGCUAAGGUCCGUAUCCGAGAGGGAAAUAACCCAGACUAUCUGCUAAGGUCCCCAAAUCUAUACUAAGUUGAAAAAACGUGGUGUGGUUGCAUUGACAGCUAGGAUGUUUGCUUGGAAGCAGCAAUUCAUUUAAAGAGUGCGUAACAGCUCACUAGUCGAGCGAUCAUGCGUGGAUAAUAAUCGGGCAUAAGUAUAGUACCGAAGCAGUAGAUUUAUGGUAGGGGAGCAUUCUAAACCGCGUUGAAGGCGAUUCGUAAGGAUCUCUGGAGCGUUUAGAAAAGAAAAUGUAGGCAUAAGUAACGAUUAAGGAAGUGAAAAACUUCCUCGCCAAAAGACCAAGGGUUCCUGAUCAAUGUUAGUCAGAUCAGGUUUAGUCGGAUCCUUAGGUGAACCCGACAGGGGUAGCCGAUGGAAAACAGGUUGAUAUUCCUGUACCGGCGUAUCAUUAAAAGUGACGGAUGGACGUGGUGGCUACGUGCUGACGGAAUAGCACGUUGAGCCGAAUCUUCGGAAGAAGCGAAGUCAUAAAAUCCAUUCCAAGAAAAGCGAGAUACGCAGUCCGUACCCGAAACCGACACAGGUGGUCAAGUAGAAUAUACUAAGGCGCUCGAGUGAAUCAUGGUUAAGGAACUAGGCAAAUUAGUCUCGUAACUUCGGGAAAAGAGACACCACAGCAAUGUGGUCGCAGAGAAAUGGCCCUGGCGACUGUUUAACAAAAACACAUGGCUAUGCAAAAUCGAAAGAUGACGUAUAUGGCCUGACACCUGCCCGGUGCUGGAAGGUUAAAAGGAGAUGUCAGCGCAAGCGAAGCAUUGAAUUGAAGCCCCAGUAAACGGCGGCCGUAACUAUAACGGUCCUAAGGUAGCGAAAUUCCUUGUCGGGUAAGUUCCGACCUGCACGAAUGGUGUAACGAUCUGGGCACUGUCUCAACCAUGAGCUCGGUGAAAUUGUAGUCUCGGUGAAGAUGCCGAGUACCCGCAACGGGACGGAAAGACCCUGUGAACCUUCACUAUAGCUUUGCAUUGGAGUUGGUUAAACGAUGUGUAGGAUAGGUGGGAGACUUUGAAGCGGCUUCGCUAGGAGCUGUGGAGUCAACGUUGAAAUACCACCCUUUGUUUAAUUGAUUUCUAACUAUUAGGACAGUGCAUGGCGGGUAGUUUGACUGGGGUGGUCGCCUCCGAAAGCGUAUCGGAGGCUUCCAAAGGUACCCUCAGUACGGUUGGUAAUCGUACGUAGAGUGCAAUGGCAUAAGGGUGCUUGACUGUGAGACUGACAAGUCGAUCAGGUACGAAAGUAGGGCAUAGUGAUCCGGUGGUUCCGAAUGGAAGGGCCAUCGCUCAAAGGAUAAAAGGUACUCCGGGGAUAACAGGCUGAUCACUCCCAAGAGCUCACAUCGACGGAGUGGUUUGGCACCUCGAUGUCGGCUCGUCACAUCCUGGGGCUGGAGA
rnacentral:rRNA from 1 species